GCCCAUGUAGCUCAAUUGGUAGAGCAAUCCCUUCGUAAGGGAAAGGUUAUCGGUUCGAUUCCGGUCAUGGGCU
rnacentral:tRNA from 1 species